AUCCCCCCCCCCCCCGGGCAUACCCUGGGAAUUUGACUUCAAGUCUUCUCCAGGGAGUAGGGAAUUUGACGUUCUAGGUCUUCCAUGUGGUGGGGCAUUUGAUAACGGGGUGGGGAAUUUGAACCGGAAGUCUUAAAAAUUUUGCCCGUUUUCGCGUGCUUCCUGCAUGCACAGAAAAUACUUCGCAUUGGCGGCAAAUACAGUUUUCUCAGAUUUCGAGGGAAACAGCUCAAUUUCGUGAAAAACUGGCUCAAAGAAACGGGCAUGGAAAAUCUAUGUGUUUCAUUUGAAGGUAUG